AUACUCACUUCAGCAGCACAUAUACUGAAACUGAAACAAUAUGGAGAAGAUAUGUAUGGCACAUGUGCAACAUGGCAUGCAAAAUCAUGAAGCAUUCUGUAUUUUU
rfam:Ictidomys tridecemlineatus contig097666, whole genome shotgun sequence.